rnacentral:lncRNA from 1 species
GGAGGGGCUGCCGCGAGCUCCUUAGGGCCCCUUGUCUUCAGUGAUAAUUCUCCGCAGCUUGGCUCUGGCUGUCUUACCUCCUCCCCCUGUGUAACUGAGCCUCUGGCUCUGUCAACACCUCUGCUGCGUGCACCAUGACAUGUGUGAGCCUUGAGCCGGGCAGGAACCCUCGGAGUGAGGUGUGAGUUUCUCCCGAGGCCAUCAAAGCCGCCUUUCUGCAGCAUGCGAGACACUUUGGGCUCUGCUGGCCAGAAAGCCAAGCCUUCACGAGGGAAGGGAGAAGGGAUCCUUCAAUCUUCAGACUGAUCUUCCCGGGCCCCAUCCUUCCCCACAUUAACUCUGCUUGUACCGGCUGAAUUAACAUACUCUAAAGCACAAUGCUAAGCAGGUUCUGUUUCUGAUCAAAAGCCUCCACUGUCCUCAUUUCCUACCAAAUGCAAGCCAAGUCAGCUGCCCUGGCAUGCUGGAACUUUCUCAGGAUGAUCCCACAUGCUUUUCUAGGCUUCUCUCCUGCUGUAAACACCAAGCACUUCAGCCGGAAUGACGCUUCCCAGUCUCUGCAGACAUGGCGCUGUCUUGCCUCAGUUCUCCUCCUGCUUUCUUCCUGCCCACUUCUACCUGUCUAAAGCCCCCUCAUUCUGCAAACCUAACCUCGAAGCCACCUUCAGUGUCCCUGAUGGCUCCAGUCACAUGUCACCCCUCCUUGCUUGAGGCGCCUGUCCUGUUAAACCGUGGGCAUAGUCUCCUUAUUUUAAUUACAUGGCCCUUUGCCCCAACCUUCUUGGUAGACUGAGUUUAGACAAUAGGGGCCAUGUAUAUCCUGUGUCACUAUGCCACGGCCAGGAUCUGGGGUUGCCGGCAGCUGCAGCUCUGAUUCGACCCCUAGCCUGGGAACCUCCAUAUGCCGUGGGUGUGGCCCUAAAAAAACCAAAGACAAAAAAAAAAAAAAAAAAAAAAAAAGACAAAGAAAUACUUAUAUCACUUGAUUGUUUUCCCCCUUCCCAUCAUAUUAUUUGGGUAGAUUUUAAAAAGAGCCUUGUUGGUACCUCUCAGAUAAUCAGAUAAUCCUAGAUUCUUCAGCAAAGAAAUGGAUCUUAGCUGUUAUUUUGUCUAAUCCUGCAUUUGAUAAAAGGAACCUCUUCCUGACACCCCUGCUUCUCUGUUAGGGGAUAAUGCAACAUAAUUUCCUCUUGGGGCCUUUGGAAAGUAAUUAGGUCCAUCCAAGUAAAACCAAAUACCUGGAGCAAGAGAGCAAUUUUAUAUACAAAAGCUUUAGAGUUCAUCCAGUUGUGUCUCCUUGGAAGCCAGGCUGUCCCUUCAAGCAGGUGUUCUCCGGCUGCAGUGGCAGGAAGGGCCCAGUCUGCUGGUAACAGGACUCAGAGCAAGCCGACUCAGGUGUCUGGGUCCCUUUCAGUUGCAACUAUCCCGCCUUGCACCCCGUGGCUGCCCCUCCUCCUCCUCUUCCUCCUCCUGGGGGCCAUCAUAUCUUAGCUCCCACUUAUCAAGUUUCUGAAUAUUUCAUCCCAGAAAUUGGAGGCAACGGAAUGUGGAAGAGCAGGUCACGGUCUUUGAAGGCAGUUAAACGGGGUUCGGUUUUCAUUUUCUUGCUUAGUGUGAUGUAGUUAAGAACUCUGGCUCUGGAGCUGGGCAGAGCUAGGUUCCAGUACUGCUCUACCAUUUCCUAUCUCUGUGACUAAGGACAAAUUACUCUGAGCCUUCAUUUUCUAAUAUGUAAAAUAGGGACAAUAACACCACCCUCAUUGCUUGUUGGUGACCAAUGAUAAAAUACAUGGGUAUCAGCUAGAAUGGCUUUGGCCGCAAGUAACAAAUAAAAACUCAAAGUGGCUGAAGCAAGGAGGAAAAUGUAUCUCACAGAACAAGCCGUCUACAAGUAGGCAAGUUACAGGAUUGGUUAAUUCACCCAAGACUCAGAUUUGUUCCAUCUUUAUGCUCUUCCCACCUCAGCUUGUAGGCUUUCCUAGGUUGGCUGUCCUCAUGAUGAUAAGAUGACUGCCACAGUCCGACCAUCACGUCCUGAUGCUACAAAAGCAGAAGAGGGUUAUCACUUUUGUGUUUCUUUAAGAGUAAGGAAACCUCUCCCUGGUAUUAGCACAGAACCCAUCUCUCCCCCCUCAAAGUCUUUAUAGAUGCGACUUCCUCAUUGAAGCUCCCUCUCGCAUCUUUGGUUCGAGCUGGGUUGAAAGCCUGCCUUUAGUCCAGUUACUGACACAAUAGGAUCACCAUGCUUGACCAGUCAUACCGGAGAUAGCAUCUCCUUUCCUUGGGGUUGGAUAUCUGAACAAAACUAGGAUUCUGUGAGCAGAGAAGACGGAUGGGGUGGUUGUUAUGGGGGCAGCCAACAGUGUCUGUUACAGCCUGGAAUCUGACACAGAGUAAGCAUUAAAUAUAUGUUAGCUGUUGUUGUUAUUAACUCCUAUUAGCUGCGUGAACUUGCUCAGUUCCUGUCUAAUGUUCUAUAGCUGUGAUUGUGCCUAUUGGUCUUGCCAAACCUGAUCCUCUGGGAGCAUUUACCUGUGCCCAGUUGUCCUUCCUCUGUGUCAGGAGACCCUGUUAAGACAAUGAGCCCACUGCCCUGGUGCUCUUGCCUCUAGAGGGCCCUGGAGGCUUCCCCUACUCAAGAGUUUGAGGGCCUAAGACCAAAAACCCAGCCACCACCAAGAGUUCUCACUUCUUGGCCUUUGAGUCCUCAACUGAGGAGGGGAGCUUGAUGGGCAGGAACCAGCUUUGUCACAGCACCUAGGACUAAAGCUUUGUCAGAUCCAGGUUCCCAUCCUAGCUUGACCACUUAACAGCAAUGUGACCUCGGGCAAAGCUCUUUAUUUCUCUCUAAGUGUCAUUUUCCUGGCCUAUAGCGUUAUAGAAUAUAGUGCCCAUUCAUAGCAUUAUGGUAAAGAUUAUAUUAGAUGGUGGUGAUACAUAAAGCUUUUCAACUUGAGGGAGGCUUAACACACGGUGCCCAUGUUCUUAUAAGAACUCAAUAACCAUUUGCUGAUUGAUUGUAGAAGGUGAAUUUGUGCACAUAGGCUCUUGAAGACAGGGAUAAUUAACCUAAGUCUAAUGCUUACCCUUUUUUCUUUUUUAGGGCUGUACCCACAGCAUACGGAAGUUCCCAGGCUAGGGGUCGAAUCGGAGCUACAGCUGCUGGCCUACACCACAGCCACAGCAAGGCCAGAUCUGAGCUGCAUCUUCAACCUACACCACAGCUCACGGCAAUGCCAGAUCCUUAACCCACUGAGCGAGGCCAGGGAUCAAACCUGCAACCUCAUGGUUCCUAGUCGGAUUCGUUUCCCCUGUGCCAUGAUGGGAACUCCCCUAAUGCUUAUAUUUUUAUGAAAACUAAAUUUUCCUAGUAGAGGUAGACAUGAGCCUUAGCCUUAUUUUUACACACGAUGAUACUGAGGCUCAGAGAAUAAGAAAGUCUGGUUCACUCAGCAAGUUAAUGGCAGAGCAGGGAUUUGGACCCAUGUAACGCUGAUGCCAAAACACCAUACUCUUCCCCUGACCUAUCUUGCCCUCUUAACCUGGUCAUUUAAUCUGCCCAUUCAACCUCCUCAGUGGCCACACCUUCCACGUCCCUCCUCACAGAAGUCUCUCGAGCCCCUGAGUUCCUAGAGCCCUUGCUCGAACCUUUCAUCACUUCACACUUACGAGCACAUCCAAUGAGCCAGGCCUUAAAGCUGGGCUCACCCUUGACCCUUCUCUCUCCCUCCACUCCUCAUGUCUAAUAGGUUACUAAGAUUUGUCAUUUCUGUCUUUUAAUUUUUGCUUUUUAGGGCCGUACUCUCGGCAUAUGGAAGUUCUCAGGCUAGGGGUUGAAUGAGAACUGUAGCUUCCAGCUUACACCAUAGCCACAGCAAUGCAGGAUCCGAGCCACAUCUGCAAGCUACACCACAGCUCAUGACAACCCUGGAUCCCUAACCCACUGAGCGAGGCCAGGGAUCGAACCUGCAUCCUCGUGGAUACUAGUCAGGUUCAUUACUGCUGAGCCACAACGGGAACUCCAUUUCUGCUUUUUAAAUAACCCUUAAGUUGUUACGUGCGUCUCUCUCCCCACUACUACCACCAUGUUUCAAGCCUCCAACAGCCAUCCGUCCAUGUUGCAGCCUGGUACUGCAGCAGCCCUUCUGGUCUCCCUGCCCCCGUGCAUUCUCCAGAGUGAUAUUUCCAACAGGGGAAGCCGACCAUGUGAGUCCUACACCUAAAACUCCUUCAGAGCACGUGGACGCCUCAUCUUCUGUCACUUUCCCUUCACAUUCUGGAUGCUGGUCUCUUGGAAUGAGCUGCCAUCCCCGAAGAGACAUCCUGCCUCUCCCCUCCAAGCCUUUGCAUGUGUUGCUUCCUCUGCCAGGAUCAAUGCAAGCCCUCCUCCCAGGCUUGCCCGGAAAACCCUUCUUCAUUCCUCAGGAAAGCACCCCCUCUUUCUCCGCCUCCAGCCCACAGCUCAAGCGAUCUCGAAGCAACUUGCACUUCCUUCUCUCAUGGCACUGACCUCCCUGGAUUGUAACUGUCUUUCUCUUCUCCAUCUUUACCACUAGACUGUAAGAUCAUGAGUUGAGGGCAGGGUCCCCAACCUAUUCAUUGCUCUACCCUCGGAUAAGUCAUGUGCUCAAGUGUUACCGCUGCACUGGAGUCUUCUCAGUGGAAGCAGGCUCCGCAGUUUCCAAUGAAGUUGCUACGGGUGUUGGGAGGAGCCCCAAAUAGCCCACAAUCGCCUCCUCUCCCUCUGCACCCCCAGAAUCCCAACCACGACAGAAUAGCAUGAUGACUUGCUUCCUUGGGGGACUUCCAGCCAGUGGAGCAUUUCAAUAAACAAACAAUAAACGCGUGGAACAAAUGAGCGAGGGAAAUGCAGGCUCUCAAGAGGAGGAUGGAAAUCCGACUUGGCAAGGGGCUGUGACUGCUUCUAAGGCUGAUAGAUUUAUGAUUGGGAAUUUUGUGUUUCCACAUGGACCUUGCCUGACUCUAUUAUGCUAACAGGCAGGGCCGGAUGGAGAGUGAAAGUGAUUUGGGGGCGAUAGGAGACCUAGAUUCUUUUGACUUGGAAAGAGCUUUGAGUUUGUACAUUCCAUCUUCAAACACAGGGGUUCUAAAUGGUCUUAGGGGGGUACAGAUGCUUUGUGCACGCAUGUGCUCUUUCUCUGCUCUCCCUCUCUCUUACACAACACACACACACACACACACACACAUCCACAUACACACUCACACCUAUACAUAAGGAAUAAUUUUUAAAAAAACCACUUGGUCACAUUCUCAUGCUUCCCCAAGAAAUCAGAUAGAUUCACUCAGUGGGUUAAGGAUCUGGCAUUGUCUUAAGCUGGGGCAUGGGGCAUGGAUUCUGCUUGGAUCUGGCGUUGCUGUGGCUGUGGUGUAGGCUGGCGCCUGCAGCUCUGAUUCAACCCCUAGCCUGGAAACUUCCAUAUGCCUUGGGUGUGGCCCUAAAAAUUAAAAAAAAAAAAAAAAAAAAAAAA